ACUCUGAGUAGGUAACAGGUACCAGCUACUGUCAGCAGGGAGGAAGGUAUGUGGUGACCACGAGUCCAGACCUGAGGGUCCUGACCCUCUAAUGCGGCCUCUCACCAGUGUUCGCAGAAACCCACCCGCUGAUUCAAUACGGGGACCAGGAACCUGCCAUGACAGUCACGGUGUGUUUGGGUUUUUAUUGUCAUUUUUGAGGGGCACUGUGUGCUUUGGUUAAGACUGAGGCCUCAAAAGAGAAUUUUAGGAAAAUGGAAGCCACAGGGUGAUGUCAGCUGGGAAAAGGCCAGGGGCAGAGGUGGGGUCUCAGCGGCAGUGAGCAUAGGGCUGCCCUGGGUGUCAACACUGAGGAAAGCAAAGGGGUUUGCAAGCAGCCAGAAGUGAUUGGUGCUGUGACUCAUGGGGGAGCUGACCCCACUCGGAAAAGGAGAACCCAGAGGAGGAAAAUCCCGUGGUGAUGACACAGAGGCGACAUCAAGUUGGGUGGGAGAGAAUGUGAGGAGGACAAGUUUAACCCCAAACUGAGGCUGGGGGCUAGGGUAGGUUUGAGUCCAGAGAGAAGGAAAUUGAGAGAACAGCCCAGAUUUGGAAUGGUGGGAGGAGGCUGUGGGGAGGGGAGGCUGUGGGAAGAGAGUGGGACGGGGAGGGCACGGUCUGGAAGAAGGACGAACCGAGAAGAGGAACUUGAAAAUAAUGAAAAAAUCUAGAUGAGCUUCUCUUGGGUCAACGACUCAGCAGCUGUGACUAACCUAAUUUGGGGAUCAGACCUAUUUGCUUAGAAUUUAUAUAUUGAUUAAAUGACAUCCUUUUCCCACCAAAGAUGUGUCUGAGGUAGGAUUGAAUACAAAAUUUGUACCUGUCAAAAUAGAAAUAGAAAAUUAAGAAACUAGCCUGGCACUGAGGCGCAUUCCUACAGCCCCAGCUACUCAGAAGUAUGAGGUGGGAGGGUCGCUUGAGCCCAGGAGUUUGAGGCCAGCCUGGGCAACAUAGUGAGAUCCCGGAUCUAUAAACAAUAUAAAAAUUAGCCAGAUGCAGUGGCAAGUGCCUGUAAUCCCAGACAUUCCAGAGGCCAAGGUGGGAUGUUCACGUGAGCCCAGGAGUUGGAGGCUGCGGUGAGCCAUGAUCAUGCCACUCUGCACUCUGGCCUGGGUGGCAGAGCGAGACACUGUCUCUGGAAAAAAAAAAGAAGAAGGAGGAGGAGGGGCGGGGAGAGGAAGGGAGGAGAGAGAACUAUUAAGAGAAAAAUAAACACAGAAAGAGCCCAGACAAAUAUGUGAUUGAGCAUUAAAUUUAACUCCACGUGUGCCGACAGACAAGGCAGAAAGAGAAACACAAUGAUGUUUGAUGGCAGAGGAGUUGGUGCUGGUGGGAACCUAAGCUGUAAGUGCCCUCUCCUCUCUUGUGUGGGUCUCCUGUGAGUGAGUGAGUGGGGGUCAUGGUGCCCUGGGACACUCUUCCCACCCCCUACAGCCUGGGAUCAGCAGUGGCCCCUCCUCCUGGGUCUCUCCACCUCCUGCAGCUGGGCAGGACACUCAGGAUCUUGAAUGAGUAGGUGCGGGCAGCUUUACUCUCGAUACUCAUGGAUCAGUUCCAGGAAAAGGAAGGAAAGUCAAGUCAGACUUUGAAACUUGCAAAACGCUGGGAGUACGCACACUCUUCCUCAUUAGUAGAGGACAAAAACAGCAGUCAGGCACCUCAUGUACCGCAUGUCACAGAGUCAUGUGAGAUGUGAAAUUUCCCAAGUAAAAACACAGAAUCAUGUGAGGUGUGAAAUUUCCCAAAGAAAAAUGUUUUGUAAAUUCAGGAUCACCCUGGCUUACUAAUAUUAGCAUGACCUUCACUUUCAGUAUUAUUUUAUUUUUGCCUGAUUCCCAGCAUUCUGCCUAUCCACACUCAGGCCAUGAGGUCCUUGAAACUUCUACAUAGGAAGGAAGGAAGAGUUUAGAAGGCUGCAGUUGAGGCGAAAGGAAAGUUCUCUUUAUUAUUCUCAUAUCUGAAGCCAUAAUAGGGCCUCCUUGUUUGUGAAACGACAUCACAUUCUGCAGCCUUGGCAAGUGGUCCACAAAGCUUACCUCUGAAGGUCUGAGUUCCUCUUUAUCACUAUAAUUUGACCCCAGUUUUAGUCGAAGGAACUAUCACUGUAUACUCUCAUUCCCCACUACGUGUAGAUCACUCAUUUACUUAAUUCAAUUAUUCAGCAAGUAUUUCUAGAGUGCCUAGCCUGUGCCUAGCUCUGUUCCAGGUGCUGGGGAUGCACCAAUGGACAAAAUAGGCAAAAAUCCUGACCUUCACAGAGCUCAAGUAAAUUGUAGAUUAGUAGGAGAGAAGUGCUAUGGAGAAGGCGAAGCAGGGAAGGACAGCAAGAGAGGCCAAGGUGGCUCAGGGAUCACAUUUUAAAUAGUGUAGUCAGAAAAAGCCUUGCUGAGAGCUGGCUGUGGUGGCUCAUGCCUGUAAUCCCAGCACUUUGGGAGGCUGAGGUGGGUGGAUCACUUGAGGUCAGGAGUUUGAGAACAGCCUGGCCGACAUGGCAAAACUUCAUCUCUACUAAAAAUACAAAAAUUAGCCAGGAGGGGUGGCGAUGGGUGCCCGUAAUCCCAGCUACUCGGGAGGCUGAAGCAGGAGAAUCACUCGAACCCAGGAGGUGGAGGUUGCCGUGAGCCAAGAUUGUGCCACUGCA
rnacentral:lncRNA from 1 species